rnacentral:misc_RNA from 1 species
CCGAGUUUACAACUCCCAAACCCCUGUGAACAUACCACUUGUUGCCUCGGCGGAUCAGCCCGCUCCCGGUAAAACGGGACGGCCCGCCAGAGGACCCCUAAACUCUGUUUCUAUAUGUAACUUCAUGAGUAAAACCAUAAAUAAAUCA